rnacentral:lncRNA from 1 species
CUAUAAAUACCCACUAAACACUUGAAGAAAACUAAAUACAGUACUAAUUCACCUUUUGUAGGAGCUAUUCCACUCGACAAACAAAUGACUCCAAGAACCUCUCUUACACUCUUGAUCCUUGCUCUCAACCUCCUCUUCUUCACUUACACAUCUGCCGCAUUAUUGCCACCGAUCCCGGGCAUCACGGUCCUCCCGGGCAUCACGGUCAUCCCGGGCAUCACCGUCCCGGGCAUCACGGUCCCGGGCAUCCCGGCCACGCCAAACACCCCAGCCACGCCAAACACCCCGACCAAGCCAAACACCCCGACCAAGCCAAACACCCCGACCAAGCCAACGAUCCCGACCACGCCAGCCACCCCAGCCACCCCAGCAACGCCAGCCACCCCUGCCACUCCAGCCACCCCAGCAACGCCAAACACCCCAACGUCUCCGACACUCCGCACACCUCCAGGCACAGGUUCUUUAUCCUAGAGAUGCUCUAAAGAACGGUGUUUAAGCUAUUGGACCUAAGAUUGGAAUCUCACCUGAGCCAUGUUGCUCAUCUAAGGCUUUUUGUUGUUUAUAUUUGGUUUUUAUGUGUGCAACUUAUGCAUUUGCUGAGUAUCUUGAAUUUCUAAAGUUUGUUUGUUUUAAGAAAAUAUGUCGCACAUAAUUUAGACAGCAUAUAAAAUAUUUUCUAACUUUUAUCAUUUUUCAAAUACACAGGUUUACUUUUUCUCUACGUAAUUAGACUUUAUUUUAUGAGGAUAAACUAUGACUUUUUGUUAAAGUUUUGCAUUGAAACAACACUUUUUUUUUGAAAAGAAAACAAAGAUCUAAAACAACACUUAAUUUUAAAAGAAAUAAUGUAUUUUGUAAAGGAUUUUUUUUUUUUUUGUAUAUAAAAAAUUAAUAUUUCAUCCCAACCGGAUUUUAGGCCAUGGACUUGGGAAAUGGGGUUUACAUCUAAUUUACAAUUUCAAAAAAAGAAGGAAACCGAUGACUCGAAAUUGGACAUUGAUGGUGUUCGGAAACAAGGAAACACAUCCACUACUACCGGCGAUUACAAGAAACACUGCUUUGCGGCUACAUCAACGAUAUCGAAUCCAGGUAAUAAGUUCAUGUCGCAAAGCCGAUCCGGACGACAAGCCUCAACCCGCAACAUUUAUCCCGAAAUAGAUCGGUUCUCAGAAAAUCUGAGACCUAAUCUAUCUAAUCCCCUACCUAGCAAAAAGGGAGAACUCAGAUCGAUCUAACACUUAGCCUCCGGUACCAACAAGCAUCAGACAUAAAAAAAGGGACCUUUCAGCUUCAUAUGUCAAGGUUCCAGAUCGCUAUGUUGACGCUAUCUUCUAACCACCACGUUAUAUAUCCUUCUUGUUGCACUUGCACCACAAAACCUCUAUAUUUCAUUUUCAGAUCUCUUUUUCUAUGUAUACGUAAACAUAUCUAUAUAGUAUAUAUACGUUAUUGGAAUUCUUUGCUAAGAACUUGAAAUGAAGCAAACAGUCUUAUUAGGUAACACAAAAAAAAAAGAAGUUUUUUUCAGAUUUCUCAAUGUUCUUUUACCAAAAUAUGUUAUUGUUCUUUUUUUCCGCCAAAUAUGGUAUUGUUCAUAUUCAAGGUCCGUGAGCUUUGCUUCAGAGUAGUAGGCUUUGGAUACUUUUGAUAAAACCCCAUAUUGUAUGUCAAGGCCCAUUAAGAUGCGGAUCCAAGCCUUGACGUUUAAACAAAUAUAAGUCUUCUCGUAGGUAACAUCAAAGGCCUAUUAGCUCAGUUGGUUAGAGCGUCGUGCUAAUAACGCAAAGGUCACAGGUUCGAUCCCUGUAUAGGCCAUUACUUUUUAUAUUUUUAGUCAUCGUCGUUCCAACUUCCCCAACCAUCAUCAAUAUUUGAUUUUCAUUCCACUCAGGUGGUCACUUCACCAGUAGAGUUUUUGUGUGAAUUGAUAACAAAAAUGUUUGUAAGCUUAAAUUUUUCCUGUGCAUAGUAAAACAAAAAAACCAAGCACUGUAAUCUCUUCUUGGAGAUUUUUUUAGCCACCAACACUGUUCAUUCGUCUAACUUAACUUUUUUUUUUUUUUUUGAUAAACCCUAUCGGCUGAUCCGGUCGGCCUCGGUAGGAACACACCGAGGUGCUACAGAGUGGACUUCUUCCGAUCCAGGUAGAAUUGGGUCACCACACUGGCUGAUCCGAGUUUGGAAUGCCUUCCGACUAAUGCCAGGGGUAGUCAGGCCGCCUGCAUUUCUGACUACCAGGUAAACCAAUUGGGCCAAGGUCCAACUGAGUAACUGACAGACUUCCCAAACAAAUGUGUUUUUGUUUCCAGGGAGAAUCGAACUCGGGUCUGGGAGUUUCACCCAAAUUCACUUCCACACAAUACAAAUUUGUAACAAAGGUUAAUGAAUUCUUGUGAUUUAUCAACAAACAAAAAUAACCAAAAUGUGACAUAUGAGAGACUAAGUUGUUGUAGACUAAUGGUUAUCACUUAAAAUGUAAAAAAAUUUCGUAGGUCUAGAUCAAGAAUCGAUUACUCUCAAAUAUUUUAAGAAAAAUCUGCACUUUGUAGUACAUUGGUUACCCUUAGAUAUUUUAAAUAUUUUUAAAAGCUAUGAUUUUUAUGGGUUCUGGAAAUUAAUUUUGAUUUUAAUUUAGUAUUUCUCUGUUUGAAAAAGAAAAGCAACUAAAUAAAAUAGAAAACAUGUAGAAAAAAUCAUGAUAUUUUUGCCUGUCCAAUUGUGAAAGUAGAUGGUUGGAUCUUUGUGUUUGGCAAAAUGGCAAUAGAAACGUAGAUCUAUAUUAUGACAAAACAAAAAAAAAAUCGAAGAGGCAAAAGCGCCAAUCUGUUAACUGAUUCAAAGCCACUCCUUCCAUAUCUUUGUUCAUAAACAAACGCUUAUCUUCUUAUCAUCUUCAAAAGUUUUCUCUUUUGCCUCUCAACAUUACAUGCCCUACAACAUAAAUGCGAGGACGUCGGUUAUAAACGGACACUAACAAAAUUAUGUCGUUUAUUCAACCGACUUGCUAAGGGCCAACGUAAGUUAUAUAGCCUGGAUUACGGAUUACCUACCAUGAAAUAUCUCAAUAAUAAGUCUUAUUCUAUGUUCCAUAAUCAUAAGAUUAUAAUUUCAUUCAAAUAUACUUCUUUGAAAUAAUACUGAUAUUUAAUAAAUAGUAUUGGGUUUCUUCAAAUUAUGCAUGCUUCGGAUAUUUGAUUAACUUUGUUUCACGAACUCUAAAGCCCUAAAUUAAUAUGAAUAAUUUUAAAAAUAAGUUUAUCAAAGAUAUAGCUUUAUUGCUGGCAACAAAAAAGGUAUAGCUAUAUUGCAAGAUCUUAUACUAUUAUUUGGGGAGUACACUUUAUAAGAUACCCUUAACUAACCUUUCCUUUUGUAAGAAUUUACUUAAGAAUGCCAUUACAAAAAUCUUCUUUUAGAACAAAUUUCAUUCAAUUUAUUAAGAAUAAACAAGUAAAGUACUAGUUUAUGUCAUUUAAUUAAUUUGACUAAAUUAUAAAACGAAAAUUUGUUAUUAUUUUUUUUAAAUGACCAAUCAAAAUGAACAUAUAAGAUUUGAUAUCUAACUUAUCAUAUUAAUUUGUUAUUAAUCAUUAAACUUCACCUCUCAUCUUAAUAUGAUUAUAUUAAUAUGAAAAAAACUAAAUCAUCAUAUCAUCUACAUAAUAAAAAAAAAGUAAUUUUUUUUUCUGCAUAUGCCAAGAUUUGAAUUUUUAAAAACGCAUAUAAAUUGUUCAAUCUAUAAAGGAAACAAUUAAACGGGUCAAAAAUUCAGACUUGAGUAGUAUAUUUCUUUUACACAAAAAUAAAGUCAACAAAAAUUCCGACUGAGCAACAGGUCAGAAUUUGAAUAUUUAGAUUCGAUUUCAUACAUUUAUUUUUUUGAAAUGCAUAAUUUUAUAUACUACAAUAAAAAUUUAAAUAUUUUAAUUUGCAACAAUUAAAAUAAGUUUUACUUGAUAUUUUUAGAGAAUAUCAUCAAUACUUAAUAGUUCAAAAAGUUAAAAAUUAUAAAUACUCUAAUUUGAUUAUUUUUAAAAAUAUUUAUAAUAGUUAGCGGGUUAAAUAUAAUAUAUUAUACGAUGAAAUGAGUUUUGAUCCAUAUAACUAUUUGAAUAGUUAUAUUUAAUUUCAUACAAUUUGUUUUUUGAAAUUCAUAAUUUUAUAAACUACAAAAAAAAUUUAAAGGUUUUAAUUUGGAAUAUUUAAAAAUAGUGUAGAACAUUUAAAUAUGGUUUGACACCUCUAAAUAUUUGAAAAUUUGAUUCUGCAAGCAAUUUUAGAAUUAACGAAUAAUAGAUUGUGCACGCAAUAUUUUAAAAUGAAAUAUUGAGAUUCUAAAAUAAAAAUAUAGACUCCACGCACGGGUUGAUUUUUGUAUUAUUAUAUACUAAAUAUAUGUUUUUAACAUAUUUGAUUAUGCGAAUAAUUGGUAAAUUCCGUAAUUAUAAAUCUCAAACAAAUUCUGUAAUUAGAUUAGCUCAAACAAAUCUCUAUUUCAACAACCAAAGAAUCAUAAAUUGAAAAAGAAUUUUCUAAAUUAAUUCAAAAUAAUUGCUAAUUUUCUUAAUUAAUUCAAAAUAAUCUAUGUUUUAUAUGGGAUUCAUUUAUGAUAUUUUAAUUUUUGAUCUAACUGAAAUAUAUGCAAUCCUAUUUUGUGGUUGUUAACAUAAAUUAACUCAUUGUUCAAAAAAUAUUACUUUUCAAGAAAUAAAAUUAUUUUCUGUUUUCAUAUCUUAAAAAAAUUUAUCUAUAAUUGAGUAUUAUAAAAAAAGUUCUAUAUUUAUUCUAAUAUUGUAUACAGGGACUGACAAAAAAAUUAAUAUUUUUUCACUUACUAUUAUAAUAUAUUAAAACUUAGUUCUAAUAUAUGUAUUAUAUAAAUUUUGUAAUAAAUAAAAUUCAACCCGUACUUUAGUACGGAUGAUGAUCUAGUUAAAUAUAUAUAAGGAUAUCUCUAUAUUAUAUUCGUUAAUUGUGAUUUGUCUGGUUUAGUUUUCAACGAACAAAUAGUUAAAUAAUACUUUCUUUGUUUCUAAAUAUAAAAUUUUAGAGUUUUUAUUCUGUUUUAAAAUAUAAAAUUUAUUCACGUUUCUAUGCAUAUAUUUAUUUUCAUACUGUUAAAAGUAUCUAGUCAAAAAAAGCCAAAGAUCAAUCACAACUCGUAUUGAUGGCUUCCGAAAUUUUAAUGUGACUAUUAGUAUUCUUUCUCUACGAAUGAUUUUUGUUUAUCAAAUGAUGUUUUUGUUUAAGAAAUAAUUCUUUUUUAAUUUGUGUGUUUUAACCAAAAUAUCAUAUAUUUUAUUUUGAUAUUCAUCGUAACUUUCCAAAUUCAUAUCUCAAUGAAAAAUUAAAAGUUUUUAAAUACGGAAAACACAACUUACAAUCUAUGAAAGUUAUUUUAUCGACAAUCGUAGUACAUAUUAUAUAUAGUUUUAGGAAUUGAAAUAUCAUCAUUCUUCUAAUGAGAACCCUAUAAAUACCCACUAAACACUUGAAGAAAACUAAAUACAGUACUAAUUCACCUAUUGUUGGAGCUAUUCCACUCGACAAACAAAUGACUCCAAGAACCUCUCUUACACUCUUCCUUGCUCUCAACCUCCUCUUCUUCACUUACACAUCUGCCGCAUUAUUGCCACCGAUCCCGGGCAUCUCGGGCAUCCCGGGCAUCCCGGACAUCCCGGGCAUCCCGAACAUCCCGGGCAUCCCGGACAUCCCUGGCAUCCCGGACAUCCCGGGCAUCCCAGCCACGCCAAACACCCCAGCCAACCCAGCCACGCCAAACACCCCAGCCAACCCAGCCACGCCAAACACCCCAGCCAACCCAGCCACGCCAAACACCCCAGCCAACCCAGCCACGCCAAACACCCCAGCCAACCCAGCCACACCAAACACCCCAGCCAACCCAGCCACACCAAAAACCCCGGCCACGCCAAACACCCCGACCACGCCAACGACCCCUGCCACUCCAGCCACCCCAGCAACGCCAAACACACCAGCAACACCGACCACCCCAACGUCUCCGACACCCCGCACACCUCCAGGCACAGGUUCUUUAUCCUAGAGAUGCUCUAAAGAACGGUGUUUAAACUAGUGGACCUAGAUUGGAAUCUCACCUAAGCCAUGUUGCUCAUCUAAGGCUUGUUGACCUUGAGUCUUCAUUAUUCCUCUAUCUCUUCUUUGUAAUUGUGUCUUUUCAAUUUGAAUAAUAAAAUUAUAUCAACCGACCCAUGUUAUUGUUUAUAUUUGGUUAAUAUGUGUGCAACUUAUGCAUUUGCUGAGUAUCUUGAAUUUCCAAAGUUUGUUUUGUUUUAAGAAAUUAUGUCGCACAUAAUUUAGACAACAUUAAAAUAUUUUCUAUCUUUUAUCAUUUUUCAAAGACACUGUGUUAACUUUUUCUAUAGCAGUGCGAGUAGUUGAGCCACGAUAAAUCUCCAACACGAUACCACUGGCGUCCUCGCCACGAGGUAAAACGUCGGGAGGCUUCUCUAGAUAGUCUAGACUGCCGAGAUGUUUGGGUUAAAUGCAUCAUGAAGCGGAUAAUCCACGCCUCAUCACUGCCGGAGAAGAAAGCCUUCUCACCAACGCUUCACCAAAAAAAUCCACACCUUCAAUGAGGAUCUAAAAGCAACAAAAAAAACCCGGAAGUAAAUCUUUUUUUUUCCAAAGAUCCAAAGAGAGAAAAGAGAGAAGCGAUAGAACGAUUGUCCU